AUUUGAAAAUUACAUUCCCAUAUCAAGGAUCCAGAUACAAGGUAAGUACAAAUAGUUUUAGAAUAUAGAAUCAUUUAUAAUCAAGAUUAAAACUAUCAGCUACUCGUAAUUGGGAUAAUACAAAUAAGAAGGUAUCUUUUGAAUUGCUGAAAAAGAAAUGAAAGCAUGGCUUGACGAUGAAAAAUAAAUUCAUCUUCAUGAGAUUACUAUUUCCUGGGAAUUGCUUUUGAAACAUUUUUGUGGACCUCCGAAUUCAUCUUGACGGUAUCUCAAAAAUCAGAAGGUUUCACACAAUUGCGUCUAACCCUUCUGAUUUUGAAUCUGGUUUUUUUUCGAAAUUCCCGGUAUAUAAUAUUAAGAAAGAAUACAUACAUUUAAUUUGUUUUAUCUGGUCCUAAUUUUUCAUAAAUUUACACAAAUUGAAUUACUUAUAAAUUGCUUUCCAAUUUUAUAUGGUUUUUUUUCUGAUGGAGGUAAAUUCAAAAUAAAUGUUUCGGUCAAAGAAACGACGGUGAUUAUCAAACAUCAUUUGAAAAACAUUGCUAAAAUGAUCAGAAGAAAACAAAAGGCUAUUCAACAUAGGACACUAUCAGAUUAGCAAUUUGAGCACCAAUAAAUCUGAGGGUGAAACCAGGUAUUUUCUAAAAAAAGAAAGGUCCAAUUGCAAAACGCUAUUGGUUUAUGUGGUUUAAAUGGUAUUGACAGUAAUCUUGGAAGCCGGCUAUCGGAUAUUUUCCUAGAACGAGCACUGCCUAUAUGUAAUAGUGCAACGUAAAAAACAAUUCUUCUUUUUGCAUUGAUUUUUAAGACAACUGGUCUUGGUUGUUAUAUGCUUAUUGGUGUGCAUGUAAUAAUUAUGUGUAAUGGAUGGAUACAUUGUACUCCAUAUUCAAUGUGUUUUCUUACAGCGAUUGGUUGGAUAUUACAAAAUAAAGGAAUUUUGUAUAUCUAUAGAAAUAAAUAUUUAAUCAAUUUCUCCACUUUACUUUUCAGCAAAGGAAUAAUUCUAACAUUGUUUUAGCUCACCAUGCAGCCCAUCACUUGCCUGUUCUUUGCCAUUUUCCUGUUUGGAAUAGCAAUACAAGGUAUGAUUUCAUCAUGUCUUUUAAUUUUAUUUCAAAGUUCCGACUGAAGGAAAAGAAUGAUAGUAUUCUCGGUUUCACUUUUCAUUUUUUUGACAGUAAAUAAACAUCUUCUUUACACAAUCGCUUCUAGUCACAGUUUAGGUCUCAAACAAAUUUACUCCUGUUAAUGAUUGAAAGUGGAUUGUUUUCUCUUAUAUGUCCGAUGUUGUGUCGAUGUUCUCCUCUUAUAUUUCCCUCAGUUUUAGUUUGUUACCCCAAUUUUGUUUUUUUCCAUAGAUUUACGAGUUUUGAACAGCGGUAUACUACUGUUGCCUUUAUUUAAAAGAGAGUACAACUAAGAACAGCAAUAUUAUUCCUUGUCCUAUUUCUAGAACUCCCGUGAUAUUUUGAUAUACAUACUGAUUCUCAAAUGUUUACAUAAUAUAUUUAUAUCGUAAUAUGUAAAGUAACAAUAGCCUUUUUUAUGAUGGGUUUUCCCAAGCUAAUUAGAUAACGAACUUGGUAUGAACAUUUGUACAUUCAUUUUAAUUAAGCAUGAUUUUAUUUUAGAAGUCUUGAAACAAAUGUCAUUUAAAAAAAAAACUGUUUCAUAAAAGGUAAACAUGAUACACAGAUUUGCUAGGGAACAUGUAUUUCGAAUUCGUCGUCGGUAAAAGUCUGUCAUUUAUUGGUCAUCUUUAAAGCAUGUUCAACAUUGCAGUCUUGAACAGAAGACGCUUAUAUCAGGCAUCGAUUACCUUUUGGAUUUCAAUGCUCUUCUACUUUGUACUUUAUUUGGCUUUUUUUUUUACUUUUUUGGAUUCGAGCGUCACUGAUGAGUCUUUUGUAGACGAAACGCGCGUCUGGCGUAUAUACAAAAUUUAGUCCUGGUAUCUAUGAUGAGUUUAUUUUUAUUUAUUUUUUCAUAUAUAAACAAUAUGUCUAGCUCUGGAUCAUUUAUUUCUUAUAUGUAAUAAGGUUAACAGAGUAAACGUGCUCCCAGAAUCAGUAUAUAAGUACUUGUUCCGCAUUGUCUUAUAUGUGCUAUCGCUGUUAUCUAUUCUCAUUUUCUUUUUCAUUUUAGAAAUAACUGCUACUAGAUGCUAUUCAUGGGUAAGAUCGAAAUUAAACAUAACUUCCAGGCUCCUAUUAUUUUAGGCGUUUAACUUUUUUGGUCAAUUUAUGUUUAGCAUGAUUAGUUUUUUUAAUACUUAGAUGAUAAAAACAAUAUUUAUUCUUUGAUAAAAUUAUCUUGGACUUUUGUCUCAUACAACAAAAUCAAUCGGUGGUGUCAUGCUGAAUACUACUGGCCGUUCUGAUUUAACACACAAUAAAUAAUCCCAUUAAAUGGGAAUCGUUCUGAUUUAACACACAAUAAAUAAUCCCAUCAAAUGGGAAUUCAUUGAAAAGGAUUUCUAAAACAAAUACUGUGGAUUCAUUUAUUUUCGUGGAUAUCAAUUUUCGUGGAAUGCUGAAAACUUGCAUAUUCGUUAAUAUUUGAUUUCGUGGUUUUCCCAAUCUCUGUAUAAAAAGCCUUUUCAAAAUAUGUUAUUCGUUGAACAUUUGAAAUCGUGGUUCCCCUGUACCCACGAAACCCAAGAAAAUUGGUAGCCAACGAAUAAUAAUGAAAUAGGACUUAUGAUUUAUCAAAUAUCUAUAUUGGUCAAUUAUCUACAUACAUAUACUUACAUAUUUUAUUAAAAUUAACUCUACCUGUUUAACUCUUGUUCAUGUGUUGUUUGGUUUUUUUUUGUCAUACAUAUAUCAUGUUUGCAUUUUAACCCGUCAGGUUUUCGCUGUUUGAAAUACAGUGUUAUUUUUUUUAGCCUCGUGCAUGUCCACCGUGGAAGAGAUGCAUUACACUCCCAUGGUACCCAUAUUACAGAUGUGUUCAAAGAUGGGGAUGGGGAAAUUCAGGAAGUCCAUGGAGAAUGGGAAUCUAUGGUAGUUGGAGUAGCUACGGCAGUGGAGGAGGGGGUUACGGAGGUGGUGGUAUGGGUUAUGGAAGUGGCGGUAUGGGUGGUUACGGAGGAGGCGGUAUGGGUGGUUACGGAGGAGGCGGUAUGGGUGGUAUCGGAGGCGGUGGCAUGGGUGGUUACGGAAGCGGCGGUAUGGGUGGUUAUGGAGGUUACGGUGGCGGCGGCAUGGGUGGUAUUGGAGGCGGUGGUAUGGGUGGUUACGGAGGAGGCAUUAUGGGUGGUUACGGAGGUGGCAGUAUGGGUGGUUACGGAGGUGGCGGCUAUGGGUCUGGCGGUUAUGGAUCUGGUGGUUAUGGCGGUGGUGGCUAUGGGUCUGGUGGAUAUGGAUCUGGAAGUUAUGGCAGAAAGAAAUCAGUUUGUAAGUAUUCAAUACGCCUCGAUUAUGGAUUUUAUUUUCAAUUUCCUAACAUCUGUUUAAAUAACACCGUUUAUAUUAUUGAUGAUGCUAGUCAUGUUCUUGCAUUUUGAUAUAGGUUUGUCAUGGUGUCACUUAACUUUUAUCGCUAAGUUUUCUUAGGAAAAUGGCACAUCGAGCGACAUUCAAUUGUAUUAGUAAUCAAAGGUAGUAGGCUUAUAGUUGAAUACGCCAGACGUACGUUUCGUCAACAUAUGACUCAUCAGUGACGCUCAAAUCAGUUAGAAAGCCUAAUUAAACAGUUUAAAACUGAUACAAACUGAUUCUUCUUUUGCAUUGAAGGAAGAAAGUUUCAUUUGAAGUGAUACCGGUAUUAAUGUAAGCAAUGACUCGAAAGAACAGUUUUGUCACGUAAAGACUAGUUUCGAAUGCAAUUUUACAAAUGAGUACACCACAAAAUAACACCGAGAUGUAAAGAAUUAAUUUCAACAACAUGUGUUUUAUUCCUUGCAGAUUAGUGACAAAAGGAUGAAAAUUACAACGACUGGCCUAUUAUUUGAAUAUUUUAUUGAAUAAAUUUGUAUAUUAAGCAUUACAUGCUUUUUUUUUAACUUAAGCCAA
rnacentral:lncRNA from 1 species